GUUAUGUGCAACAAGUUUGUUUAAGUUUCAAGAAAUUUUAUACACAGAUUUUGCUAUUUAACUACUCUAAAUAAGACUUUUUUGUUUGCUUAGGGUCAAAAUUUGGCUGAUUUGUAUUGCACAUUUGUUAGAUUUGUUGUUAGAUGUUGUAACUACACCAUUUGGACCCAAAAAUAAUCUUUCUUCAGAAAGUGAUUUUUUUUUUUUUGCCAGGAAGAUGAUUUUGGUUUUCAAUGGAUCCUUUUCACAUUUUCGGGGUUCUCAGAAGCGGAAGUCAUCAUAGCUGGGUAAUCUUUUAUAGUGGUGAAUGGAAAUAUGACAAAUAUCUUUUUGCGCUCCCAUUUCCUUCAUGAUAGUUUUUCUAUGACUUCAAAAGAGGGAAAAAAUAUUGAGAGAUUGAUUAUGUUGGAAAAAUGUGUUGUCACUCUCUCAGCCAUUGUAUUAGAGACACUUACACAGCGGUGUUAACCAAUUUUUUUGUUUUUGUUUUUUCAUUUAAUGUCAAGGUAGCACAACACAAGGUGUAGUGCUAUAAAUGUAGAUUAAAGGGGUCAUGAACUGAGAAACCAAAAUUGCCUUGAUCUUUUGACAUAAGAGGUGAUUGUACUAGCUAUAAAAACAUCCUGUAAGUUUCAGAACUCAAAUCUUUUCAUUAGUCUAAAAACAGCUCGUAUUAAGGCCAAUCGGCCAAAACUUCAGCUUUUAGAAUGUUCUAUACUCUAUGAUGUAAUAGUGUGGAUAAGCACCGCCCACCGAUUCGCACAUGUAGUUUUUCAACGAGAGAGGCGAACGUGCAGGUCUAUGCAGAAACCCAUAUUUUACCAAGGAUUUGUUUACAAACAAGGCACAAUUCGACAAGGGAUUUACAAAAGAUUAAAACUAAAAGGUGAUACUGUGCUGACUACAUUGGAUCCGACAGUAAUGUCGCAACACAAAAGUCAGCAUCCAUCUAUGAGGAAUGUACGCUGUCAAACAUACACAACUAUUAGCCAAUCAUAGCAGUGGGCGUUUACUUCCGAGUCUGCAAUCCACCACGCUUAUUCAAACAGAGCGUUCUGAUGAGGGGGGUUAAAAACAGGACAAAAACACAAAACAAAAAACAUGACCCCUUUAAGGUUUUAAUGUAAAUUAAAAUAAUAAUAAAAAAAAGUUUUCAUUUAUAUGAGCA
ensembl:lncRNA